rnacentral:rRNA from 1 species
GUGAGUAACGCGUAGGAAUCUGCCUAGUAGAGGGGGACAACAUGUGGAAACGCAUGCUAAUACCGCAUAAUCCCUAAGGGGGAAAGGAGGGGACUCAUUUGAGCCUUCCGCUAUUAGAUGAGCCUGCGUGAGAUUAGCUAGUUGGUAGGGUAAAGGCCUACCAAGGCGACGAUCUCUAGCUGGUCUGAGAGGAUGACCAGCCACACUGGGACUGAGACACGGCCCAGACUCC